rnacentral:rRNA from 1 species
UACGUAGGUGGCGAGCGUUGUCCGGAUUUACUGGGCGUAAAGCGCGCGCAGGCGGUUCUGUAAGUCCUGGGUGAAAUCGCCCGGCUCAACUGGGCGGGGGCCUGGGGGACUGCGGGACUGGAGGGGCCUAGAGGCCGGUGGAACUCCCCGGUGUAGUGGUGAAAUGCGUAGAGAUCGGGAAGAACACCAGUGGCGAAGGCGGCCGGCUGGGGGCGCCCCUGACGCUGAG